rnacentral:rRNA from 1 species
GGCGAGUGGCGGUACGGGUGAGUAAUACGUAGGAAUAUGCCUUUAAGACUGGGAUAGCCUUGGGAAACUGAGGGUAAUACCGGAUAAGCUCUGAGGAGGGAAGCUGGGGACCUGUAAAGGCCUGGCGCUUAAAGAAUAGCCUACGUCUGAUUAGCUAGUUGGUGGGGUAAAGGCCUACCAAGGCUACGAUCGGUAGCUGGUCUGAGAGGAUGGACAGCCACACUGGGACUGAGACACGGCCCAGACUCCUACGGGAGGCAGCAGUGGGGAAUAUUGGACAAUGGGGGAAACCCUGAUCCAGCGAUGCCGCGUGUGUGAAGAAGGCCUGAGGGUUGUAAAGCACUUUCAGUGGGGAGGAGAGGUUUUAGGUUAAGAGCUAAAGACUGAGACGUUACCCACAGAAGAAGCACCGGCUAACUCCGUGCCAGCAGCCGCGGUAAUACGGAGGGUGCGAGCGUUAAUCGGAAUUAUUGGGCGUAAAGGGUGCGUAGGUGGUUGAAUAAGUUAUCUGUGAAAACCCUGGGCUUAACCUGGGGGAGAGAGAUAAAACUGUCUGACUAGAGUAUAGGAGAGGGUAGUGGAAUUUCCGGUGUAGCGGUGAAAUGCGUAGAGAUCGGAAGGAACACCGGUGGCGAAGGCGGCUACCUGG